GAGUCUAGCAGCUUUUAUUCUGAUCAUAAAAGCAAUUGUAAGCAGUUGGCUGAAAUGCUUGUAUCUGUAGUGGCCGAGUCUGGAUCAAAUGCUUGCUGCGGGUCUGUUCAAAGAUAAAUUUUCCGGGAGUUUUCCAUCUCGUUACGAGGCACCCUACAGCUCCUUCUGGUGGUAAAGCAUUGGAAAAUGAGGAUAAGGAAGACAUUAAGGUGGUAUCCUUUGUACUAGAGCAGCACAGAUAAUCAAACACAAUAUAAAACCCAACCAAACCAACCUAAUCAAAUGACUCAUGGUCUGUCAAAUACUUCAAGUAACAGAAUGGAGAUAAAUAAGAGUGUUGUACAUGCUUGCUUUCCCGUAGAAUAAUUUUCAGAUUGCAAGAUGCAAUGCAACCCCAGGAAGUAAAUGAAGUAAAAUCAGAAACAUUAGCAAUCUGUCACAUCUGAAUAAUAAAUGUAGUGAUGCUCUCUGAAAAUACAACUCUACCUCCAGGAUUUAGUAGCCUUUGGUAACCUGGAACAUAGCAGCAUUGAUGUGUAUUUUUAAUGACAUUCCCCUCCUCCCUACUGGCAAACACAAGAUGUAAUGCUUAAACCAUGCUUCUUUAGUGACUAAAGAGUCUUAACACAAUUUAAGAAAUAUGACACAUGCCCAUUGUUUUAUAAAUAAACACGUAUCUGUCUUCUUGGAGAAAGGCCACUAGAUGUACUGUAAGUUAAUUAUAAGGAAUUAAAUGUAAAUUUGAGACAACCUACUAAUUCUCUUCCCACCAGUCCACCUUAAAGUGAUCUUUAGCACCUUUUACUUCAUUGUUUAUUUGAACAGUGUAAGUUUAUCAUUAAUACAGCUCAGUCUUCUAGGCCAUUUGCUGCAAGCCAGCCACUUAGUUGUCUGAAACUGAUACCAUGGGCCAAUACUGCAGAAAUCUCCCAAGUCCAGCUUUACCUUUGCAUAGACUGCAAGGUGAUACAAGGCAGAUCUGGAAGAAAUCUCUUUGCUCUGAAGAAAAUAUGGCAGGACUAAUUUCACAGGCUAAUAGUGAUUAGCUACCUAAUCACUGCUUGCUGGAUCCAUCCAGUUUUUCUUGAGUAUUUUGUAACAAGAUUCCAACAUUCUCUUGGUCUCUUUGAAUCCCAAGCCUCUGUCAUCUGCAAGAGUUCGGAAUAAUUAUUCAAUUGUAUUGUGUUUAUCCAAAUGUCUAUAUACAAGUACUCUGGUGUCAGCAACUCUGUGAAAUACUUACUCCUCUCAUAAAAAUAAACCCUUUUAAUACCCCUAAA